CGCCCCCCCCCCCCCGUUUGUGACGCCUCCCGGGGGGGGGGGGGGGCGAGAAUAAAGUUGUGUUUCUGCCACCCCCCGUGUCCCCAGAUUGUCCCCUCUGUGCCACCCCCGUGUCCUCCAACUGUCGCCCGUGCCAGCCCCGUGUCCCCAAGCUGUCCCCGUGUCCCCCUGUGCCACCCCCGCGGUCCCAAACUGUCCCCAAGUGCCACCAAUUGUGCCCCAAAACUGUCGCCAGUGCCACCCCCGUGUCCCCAAGCUGUCCCUGUGCCAUCCCGGUGUCGCCAGGUUGUGCCCUGUGUCCCUGGACUGUCUCCCGUGUCACGAAACUGUCCCCAAGUGCCACCCCCCGUGUCCCCAAGCUGUCCCCGUGUCCCCUCUGUGCCACCGCGGCGUGUCCCCGCUCUGUCCCCAAGUGCCACCCAGUGUGUGCCCAGUCCAUCCCCGCUCUGUCCCCGCUCUGUCCCCAAGUGCCACCCGGCGUGUCCCCGUUCUGUCCCCAAGUGCCACCCAGUGUGUGCCCAGUCCAUCCCCCCUCUGUCCCCAAGUGCCACCCAGCGUGUGCCCAGUCCAUCCCCGUUCUGUCCCCAUUCUGUCCCCAAGUGCCACCCAGCGUGUCCCCGUUCUGUCCCCAAGUGCCACCCAGUGUGUGCCCAGUCCAUCCCCGCUCUGUCCCCGUUCUGUCCCCAAGUGCCACCCAGCGUGUCCCCGUUCUGUCCCCAAGUGCCACCCGGCGUGUGCCCAGUCCAUCCCCGCUCUGUCCCCGUUCUGUCCCCAAGUGCCACCCACCACUCUGGCCCCAUUCUGUCCCCAAGUGCCACCCGGCGUGUCCUCGUUCUGUCCCCAAGUGCCACCCAGUGUGUGCCCAGUCCAUCCCCGUUCUGUCCCCAAGUGCCACCCAGUGUGUGCCCAGUCCAUCCCCGUUCUGUCCCCGUUCUGUCCCCAAGUGCCACCCGGCGUGUCCCCGCUCUGUCCCCAAGUGCCACCCAGCGUGUGCCCAGUCCAUCCCCCCUCUGUCCCCGCUCUGUCCCCAAGUGCCACCCAGCGUGUCCCCGUUCUGUCCCCAAGUGCCACCCAGCGUGUGCCCAGUCCAUCCCCCCUCUGUCCCCAAGUGCCACCCAGUGUGUGCCCAGUCCAUCCCCGUUCUGUCCCCGUUCUGUCCCCAAGUGCCACCCAGUGUGUGCCAUCCCCGCUCUGUCCCCGUUCUGUCCCCAAGUGCCACCCGGCGUGUCCCCAUUCUGUCCCCAAGUGCCACCCAGCGUGUGCCCAGUCCAUCCCCGCUCUGUCCCCAUUCUGUCCCCAAGUGCCACCCACCACUCUGUCCCCGUUCUGUCCCCAAGUGCCACCCAGCGUGUGCCCAGUCCAUCCCCGUUCUGUCCCCGUUCUUGUCCUCAAGUGCCACCCAGUGUGUGCCCAGUCCAUCCCCGUUCUGUCCCCAAGUGCCACCCAGUGUGUGCCCAGUCCAUCCCCGCUCUGUCCCCAAGUGCCACCCAGCGUGUGCCCAGUCCAUCCCCGUUCUGUCCCCAAGUGCCACCCACCACUCUGUCCCCGUUCUGUCCCCAAGUGCCACCCAGUGUGUGCCCAGUCCAUCCCCGUUCUGUCCCCGAGUGCCACCCAGCGUGUGCCCAGUCCAUCCCCGUUCUGUCCCCAUUCUGUCCCCAAGUGCCACCCAGCGUGUCCCCGUUCUGUCCCCAAGUGCCACCCAGUGUGUGCCCAGUCCAUCCCCGCUCUGUCCCCGCUCUGUCCCCAAGUGCCACCCAGUGUGUGCCCAGUCCAUCCCCGCUCUGUCCCCGUUCUGUCCCCAAGUGCCACCCAGCGUGUGCCCAGUCCAUCCUCCCUCUGUCCCCAAGUGCCACCCAGCGUGUGCCCAGUCCAUCCCCGCUCUGUCCCCAAGUGCCACCCAGUGUGUGCCCAGUCCAUCCCCGCUCUGUCCCCGCUCUGUCCCCAAGUGCCACCCAGUGUGUGCCCAGUCCAUCCCCGCUCUGUCCCCGUUCUGUCCCCAAGUGCCACCCAGCGUGUGCCCAGUCCAUCCUCCCUCUGUCCCCAAGUGCCACCCAGCGUGUGCCCAGUCCAUCCCCGCUCUGUCCCCAAGUGCCACCCAGCGUGUGCCCAGUCCAUCCCCGCUCUGUCCCCGCUCUGUCCCCAAGUGCCACCCAGCGUGUCCCCGUUCUGUCCCCAAGUGCCACCCAGUGUGUGCCCAGUCCAUCCCCGCUCUGUCCCCGCUCUGUCCCCAAGUGCCACCCAGCGUGUCCCCGCUCUGUCCCCAAGUGCCACCCAGUGUGUGCCCAGUCCAUCCCCGCUCUGUCCCCAUUCUGUCCCCAAGUGCCACCCACCACUCUGUCCCCGUUCUGUCCCCAAGUGCCACCCAGUGUGUGCCCAGUCCAUCCCCGCUCUGUCCCCAAGUGCCACCCAGUGUGUGCCCAGUCCAUCCCCGUUCUGUCCCCAUUCUGUCCCCAAGUGCCACCCAGCGUGUCCCCGCUCUGUCCCCAAGUGCCACCCAGUGUGUGCCAUCCCCGCUCUGUCCCCGCUCUGUCCCCAAGUGCCACCCGGCGUGUGCCCAGUCCAUCCCCCCUCUGUCCCCAAGUGCCACCCAGUGUGUGCCCAGUCCAUCCCCGUUCUGUCCCCGUUCUGUCCCCAAGUGCCACCCGGUGUGUGCCCAGUCCAUCCCCGCUCUGUCCCCAUUCUGUCCCCAAGUGCCACCCAGUGUGUGCCCAGUCCAUCCCCGUUCUGUCCCCGAGUGCCACCCAGUGUGUGCCCAGUCCAUCCCCG
ensembl:lncRNA